UACGGGGGGGGCAAGCGUUGUUCGGAAUUACUGGGCGUAAAGGGCUCGUAGGUGGCCAAUUAAGUCGGAUGUGAAAUCCCUCAGCUUAACUGGGGAACUGCGUCUGAUACUGGAUGGCUUGGAUCCGGAAGAGGGAUGCGGAAUUCCAGGUGUAGCGGUGAAAUGCGUAGAUAUCUGGAGGAACACCGGUGGCGAAGGCGGCAUCCUGGGCCGGUAUUGACGCUGAGGAGCGAAAGCCAGGGGAGCAAACGGG
rnacentral:rRNA from 1 species